GAACUGUUGAGGAGUCCCUUAAUGGGACGAAACGGCCGUCCAGUGU
rnacentral:hammerhead_ribozyme from 1 species